rnacentral:tRNA from 2 species
GGGGGCGUAGCUCAGCUGGGAGAGCACCUGCUUUGCAAGCAGGGGGUCAUCGGUUCGAUCCCGUUCGCCUCCACCA